CUGAGGAAACCAGAUCUGAAAGAGACACAUGGAUUCCAUUGUUCAUUGUAGCCCUAUUUACAAUGGCUAGAACAUGGAAGGAACCUAGAUGUCCAUCAACAGAUGAAUGGAAGUUGUGGUAUAUAUACACAAUGGAAUAUUACUCAGCCAUAAAAAGGGAUGCCUUUGAGUCAGUUCUAAUG